rnacentral:tRNA from 1 species
GGUUCGAUCCCGUCAUCACCCACCACGCUCAGUUGGUAGAGCAGUUGACUUUUAAUCAAUUGGUCGCAGGUUCGAAUCCUGCACGACCCACCA